CUUUAUUGGAGAGUUUGAUCCUGGCUCAGGACGAACGCUGGCGGCAUGCCUAAUACAUGCAAGUCGAGCGGACUUAAAGAGAAGCUUGCUUCUCUGAUGGUUAGCGGCGGACGGGUGAGUAACACGUAGGCAACCUGCCCUCAAGUUUGGGACAACUACCGGAAACGGUAGCUAAUACCGAAUAGUUGU
rnacentral:rRNA from 1 species